GGUCUCUUAACUAAUCCCCCCUAAUUUCAUUUAGGGGCUGGCAACAAAUAGGGAAGAAUCUCUGCUUGGAAGUGAUCUCUCUUUGGAGUUUCUGCAUUCUGUAGCUUGACUGUUGCCAGUUCCUUAGCUGGGUCUGGGCUAUACCCACAGCGGAUCACCUUGCUUGAAGAAGUUUUCAUGGAAAGACCAGCCAAUACGCACCAAAGACUUUAGGGGUAAAAAUACAACUUUCAUAAACCAUUCAACUCAAUGAAUGAAGAAAAAGAAAAAGCAAAAGAUAUCAUGCUUGGACAUUUGGAAC
ensembl:lncRNA